GACGAACGCUGGCGGCGUGCUUAACACAUGCAAGUCGAACGGAAAGGCCCUGCUUUUGUGGGGUGCUCGAGUGGCGAACGGGUGAGUAACACGUGAGUAACCUGCCCUUGACUUUGGGAUAACUUCAGGAAACUGGGGCUAAUACCGGAUAGGAGCUCCUGCUGCAUGGUGGGGGUUGGAAAGUUUCGGCGGUCGGGGAUGGACUCGCGGCUUAUCAGCUUGUUGGUGGGGUAGUGGCUUACCAAGGCUUUGACGGGUAGCCGGCCUGAGAGGGUGACCGGCCACAUUGGGACUGCGAUACGGCCCAGACUCCUACGGGAGGCAGCAGUGGGGAAUAUUGCACAAUGGGCGGAAGUCUGAUGCAGCAACGCCGCGUGCGGGAUGACGGCCUUCGGGUUGUAAACCGCUUUCGCCUGUGACGAAGCGUGAGUGACGGUAAUGGGUAAAGAAGCACCGGCUAACUACGUG
rnacentral:rRNA from 1 species